GACGAACGCUGGCGGCGUGCUUAACACAUGCAAGUCGAACGGAAAGGCCCUGCUUUUGUGGGGUGCUCGAGUGGCGAACGGGUGAGUAACACGUGAGUAACCUGCCCUUGACUUUGGGAUAACUUCAGGAAACUGGGGCUAAUACCGGAUAGGAGCUCCUGCUGCAUGGUGGGGGUUGGAAAGUUUCGGCGGUUGGGGAUGGACUCGCGGCUUAUCAGCUUGUUGGUGGGGUAGUGGCUUACCAAGGCUUUGACGGGUAGCCGGCCUGAGAGGGUGACCGGCAACAGCGGGGAUGAGAUACGGCACAGAGGUGUACGGGAGGGAGCAGUGGGGAAGGGGGGAGAAGGGGCGGAAGGGUGAUGCAGCCACGUCGCGGGCGGGAGGAGGGUGAUCGGGGUGUAAGGAGCAAUAACCUGUGACUAAGGGGGGGGGAGGGGAAGGGGUAUAGAAGAACAGGAGACGGAGAAG
rnacentral:rRNA from 1 species